rnacentral:rRNA from 1 species
UACGUAGGGUGCGAGCGUUAAUCGGAAUUACUGGGCGUAAAGCGUGCGCAGGCGGUUUUGUAAGCCAGAUGUGAAAUCCCCGGGCUUAACCUGGGAAUGGCAUUUGGGACUGCAAGGCUGGAGUGCGGCAGAGGAGACUGGAAUUCCUGGUGUAGCAGUGAAAUGCGUAGAUAUCAGGAGGAACACCGAUGGCGAAGGCAGGUCUCUGGGCUGACACUGACGCUGAGGCGCGAAAGCUAGGGGAGCAAACGGG